AGGGAGCCCGAUGACAGGUGCUGCAUGGCUGUCGUCAGCUCGUGUCGUGAGAUGUUGGGUUAAGUCCCGCAACGAGCGCAACCCUUAUCGUUAGUUGCCGUCUGGUAAUGCAGGGGACUCUAGCGAAACUGCCACCGUAAGGUGAGAGGAAGGUGGGAUGACGUCAAAUCAGCACGGCCCUUAUGUCCAGGGCUACACACGUGUUACAAUGGUCGGUACAGAGGGCAGCUACCUGGUGACAGGAUGCUAAUCUCGAAAACCGGUCUCAGUUCGGAUCGAAGUCUGCAACUCGACUUCGUGAAGCUGGAUUCGCUAGUAAUCGCGCAUCAGCUAUGGCGCGGUGAAUACGUUCCCGGGCCUU
rnacentral:rRNA from 1 species